rfam:Gasterosteus aculeatus cont1.005125, whole genome shotgun sequence.
GGCGCUGUGGCUUAGUUGGUAAAAGUGCCUGUCUAGUAGACGGGAGAUCCUGGGUUCAAAUCCCAGCAGUGCCU